GCCGAAGUGGCGAAACUGGCAGACGCGCACGGUUCAGGGCCGUGUGGGAUUACUCCCGUGUGGGUUCGAAUCCCACCUUCGGCA
rnacentral:tRNA from 1 species